rnacentral:sRNA from 1 species
GACCACCUGGUUUCGAUCAGGUUAAGGCCAUACGGACAGCCGGGUCAACUGCCGA